CUCAUAGGUGCCAAUGCCCCUUUUCCUUCAUUGGCAUGGACUGAGUCCACAUGGAACUCUAUAUAUGUAGAGAGGUGGCCCAGAAGGAAACGUGCCUUGCCUCUUUCUUACCUCCUAUAUGCCGAUUACUUCUAGAUCUCAGGGAGAAGAGGGCUGGGCACCUUCUUAUAUAUGAAAAGAAAAAGAGGCACCCAGCCUAGUCCAAUAC
rnacentral:lncRNA from 1 species